rnacentral:rRNA from 1 species
AUUGAACGCUGGCGGCAGGCCUAACACAUGCAAGUCGAACGAGUGGCGGACGGGUGAGUAAUGUCUGGGAAACUGCCUGAUGGAGGGGGAUAACUACUGGAAACGGUAGCUAAUACCGCAUACCAUCAGAUGUGCCCAGAUGGGAUUAGCUAGUUGGUGGGGUAACGGCUCACCAAGGCGACGCUCCCUAGCUGGUCUGAGAGGAUGACCAGCAAAACUGGAAUGGAGACACGGGCCAGACCCCUACGGGAGGCAGCAGUGGGGAAUAUUGGACAAUGGGCGCAAGCCUGAUGCAGACAUGCCGCGUGGAUGAAGAAGGCCUUCGGGUUGUAAAGUACUUUCAGCGGGGAGGCGUUACCCGCAGAAGAAGCACCGGCUAACUCCGUGCCAGCAGCCGCGGUAAUUC